CAUGUAAAGACAUGUGGAGCUGUGGAAAGCAUUCUGCAGUCAUGAAGCUACAAAUCCAUGGAUAAAAAGCUAACCAGCUGAGGACAGCUAUGCAGAAGGGUAGAGAGAGCCCAGACCCUUCGGAAAAUCACGUCACCAACCCAUCCCUGAGACCUCCCGCUCCAGACCACUGAGAAGUCCACACCGCUCAUCAGGUAUCCUGUAAUUAGUGGGCCUACUGUGCCCAUUAAGGGGCAAUGCACCAAAGUAAAAUAAGGAAUUUUUAAUCUUUAUAAAAGCUCGAUGUGAAGAAUUCUCAAGGACACUGAUAAAACUCGUCAGAGGAGAUGGCUGGACUUGGGGAGAUAAUUACCUACGUUAAGCUGCCUCCGAGGUCAACAAACCAAACUCCGACCAGGUUGAACAGUAAGCGAUGAGCCCCAGGAUCCGGGGAUUCAGGCAUCAACCAUGUCUUCGGGAGACCAGGUUCCUGCCUUCUUCCUGCUCUGCCAAUGGGGCUUCGUUCUCAGGCUGCUGGCGAGAGGGGGGCACACGUCCCGGCGGCAUAUUCAGACGGGCCAGAGCCUGUCCAGCUCCACCCGUACCUCCUACCGGUGGACUCCUCCUCCUCCCAGCAUGCACCUGCCAUCCCCUCCAGUCCCCUCACACAUCCACCCUGCUCCCCACCUCUCCCCAGGUCCCACUCAAAUGCCCCUUCCCACAGAGGCCCGCCCCUGUCUUGCUACGUAAGAGGACACCCACCUCCUGCCUCCCUAUUUUCCACAGCGCGCAGCUGCAUCCAACUCAAGGCACGUUGUCUUGGUCUCACGCGUUUCCUGGGCCACACCUGCGUGGUAGGCGCUCCGGGAGCGCAGAAACGAUCGCUCACUCACUCCCCCAGCAGAGCAGGUGUCCCACAGGUGCCUACAGGGGAGAGAAAGCCAGGUGGUAGAUUGAGGACGCCCAGGGGAAGAAGGGAGGGGAGGGAGACGUUUCCAGAGAUUGUGCCCAUAACCCCCCCCGGCCUUCCCCACCCCGCGCAGCAGUCAGAGUAACACACGCCUGCCCCAGCCAGUUUCUGGCAAGGAGAAGGGAUUUCUUCCAGCCCCACAGCAGGCGCUGGAGACAGAUGGAUCCCUGGUCCCUAGCGGUGCCAGUGACACUGCCUGAUACCAGGUUCUCCUGGGCUUUUUCUCUCAUCUGGUUCAGAAACAGUGGCUACCUCAUGCCUUCCCCGCCACGAGCCUGAAGAGUUGUCACCUCUCUGCUUCCACUUCCCCAAGGCCUCAGUCCUGCUAUACCCCGUGGAAAUCCAGUUUCCACCCCAGCCUCCGUCCCUGCUCAGAGCUCGGAAACACGCACUUGUUUCUCAGGACUCCCUCACCCCAGCGUCCUGGGCUCCUCCCCAGCCCCCGUUUCCACGUCACGGUCACAGUUACCACCGCGGAUGCCUGCGGGCCGCCCCUCCCGCCACCUGUCCCCUUUCACCUGCUGGGAAAGCACCACCCGGGCCUCGCACAGCCGAGGCGGUUUCUCUCCAAACCCAGAGGGUUGCGAAAUCGCAGCAACUUCAGGGAAGAAGCCAGGGCGGCAGACGGGCUGCGGGCUGCGUGCAGGGUGGCGCCGGGCUUCCCCGAGGGAGGCGGCCCAGCGCCCUUCUGACC
rnacentral:lncRNA from 1 species